rnacentral:rRNA from 1 species
CCUUGAAGACGACGAGGUUGAUAGGUCAGAGAUGUAAGUGUAGCGAUACAUUCAGUUGACUGAUACUAAUAGGUCGAAGAUUUAUUCAC